AUGGCCACAUCACGUUGAAACAUUGGUUCCCAUAUGAUCACUGAAGUUAAGCAAUGUUAUGCCAGUCUAGUACCUAGAUGAGUGAUCACUUGGGAAUACCACAUGCUGUAA